AUUUCUUAGAGCGACUAGCGACUCCUAAUUGCACGAAACACAGCAAUAACAGGUAUGUGAUGCCCUUAAGUGUCCGGGGCCGCACGCGCUACACUGAAAGCAGCAGCGUAAUUUUAUCCCUGCCGUAAAGACUGGGCAAACCAUGAAACCUCCUUCGUGAUGGGGAUAGGGGCUUGCAAUUGUUCCCCUUGAACGAGGAAUUCCCUGUAAGCGCGAGCCAUAAGCUCGCGUUGGUUACGUCCCUGCCCUUUGUACACGCCACUCGUUGCUACUACCGACUGAAUGAUUCAGUGAGUUCUUCGGGACAUAUACCCGGAGCGGCCUUCGUGUUGUGCGGGUGUGUUGGAAAGAUGACCAAACUUGAUCAUUUUGAAGAAGUAAAUGUAUUGUAGGGUGUGCACAAAAAUUUAUUU
rnacentral:ncRNA from 1 species